UAUUCCCGGGGAACUAAGCAUAUCAAUAAGCGGAGGAAAAGAAACCAAUAGGGAUUGCCUUAGUAACGGCGAGUGAAGCGGCAAAAGCUCAAAUUUGAAAUCUGACAUCUAUGGUGUUCGAGUUGUACUUUGGAGAGACAUCUUUUGGAGGGGCCCAGCUUAUGUGCCUUGGAACAGGACGUCAUAGAGGGUGAGAAUCCCGUUCUUGGCUGGAUGUUCCCUCCUGUAUGUAGUGUCUUCUACGAGUCGAGUUGUUUGGGAAUGCAGCUCAAAAUGGGUGGUAAAUUUCAUCUAAAGCUAAAUAUUGGCGAGAGACCGAUAGCGCACAAGUAGAGUGAUCGAAAGAUGAAAAGCACUUUGAAAAUAGAGUCAAACAGUACGUGAAAUUGUUGAAAGGGAAGCGCUUGAGACCAGAGUCAGCCUUUGGCAAACAACUACUCUUCUGGGUGGUGCACUUGUUAUUGGUUGGGCCAGCAUCGGUUGGGACGGCAGGAUAAAGACCCAGGGAAUGUGACUCCUCUAUGGAGUGUUAUAGCCCCAGGUGGCAUGCUGUCUGCCCCGACCGUGGACCGCGCCUCGGCUCGGAUGCUGGCUUAAUGGUCUUCAGCGACCCGUCUUGAAACACGGACCAAGGAGUCUAACGUCUAUGCGAGUGUUUGGGCUCUAAACCCUUACGCGUAAUGAAAGUAAACGGAGGUGGGAAUCCUGAAAGGGGUGCACCAUCGACCGAUCCUGAUGUCUUCGGAUGGAUUUGAGUAGGAGCAUAGCUGUUGGGACCCGAAAGAUGGUGAACUAUGCCUGAAUAGGGUGAAGCCAGAGGAAACUCUGGUGGAGGCUCGCAGCGGUUCUGACGUGCAAAUCGAUCGUCAAAUUUGGGUAUAGGGGCGAAAGACUAAUCGAACCAUCUAGUAGCUGGUUCCUGCCGAGCCUCCCCUCUCGAGA
rnacentral:rRNA from 1 species